rnacentral:misc_RNA from 1 species
AGCAAACAUUGGAAUUGCCAUGGGAUGUGGAACUGCAGUUGCAAAGAGUGCUUCAGAUAUGGUUUUAGCAGAUGACAACUUCGCCACCGUUGUUGCAGCAGUUGCUGAGGGAAGGGCUAUAUAUAACAAUACGAAGCAAUUUAUUAGAUAUAUGAUAUCUUCAAACAUUGGUGAAGUGGUCUGUAUAUUUGUGGCAGCUAUGCUUGGGAUUCCUGAUACUCUUGUGCCUG